CAUUAACACUUGGACAGCGGACCAUUUUCACAACAAUGUGGCUGAAAAUACCAAAUUAUAUUUAAAUAACGAUCCAGGACUCGGUGUCCGAACGCGAUUGCUCGUCCAAUCGAAAAUCCGCUGGAUGCUGUACAACUCACAGAGGUUUGAUUCAUUCCUGAGGAGAGUGAGACGACGACGGAAAGAGCGGAUAAACGACGCAGACUUUGAGUGGGGCGGAAAAAGCGACGACAGGCGUAGACGGAACUCUGGCAGCUGUGGCUGUGGCCGCAGAAGCAUCGCACAGAAUGAGAAGGAAUUUGAGAAGCCAGCGGAGAUAUCACAUGGAACAUACGGUCACUUGUUCUCGACUUACAUGUUAAUUUACACAUGUGUCUUAACAUACGUAACGCGCAUCUACUGUGGCUCGUAUUGAAGAUCGUCCACUAGCUUUCGGCGGUGAUAUUUUUAUAGAAGAUAUCCAACUAACAAGGCAAGUUACCCAGAUGUCCAAUUAGUAGACCACGGAUCUUUAUAGACGAUAAAAAUAGGCCAAGACAAUCGUAAAAAAUAAAAAUUAAAAAAAAAUGAA